GCGCACACAUGCCUGAUCCAAUCUGCCGCCAUGCCUCCCCACGCACUCCCACGCCGCCGGUGGUACUAUGUCAUCGCGCCCGCGGCGGACCCAAAUUUUCUCUCCUUCUCCUCUGCCAUCGCGUCCGCUCCCCUCCUCAGCCAUCACAUGUGCAGCCGCCUCGUCGUCACGCUCCCUCUUCGACUCCAUCUACUACGAGCUCUGCCAGGUAACCGAGAUACAUCCGUCCCCUCUCCUCUCUCCCUGAAUCGGACUCGACGCGUGCCUCCUCAUGAUUGAUUAUGUGCUGCUCGUUUGGAUCCAAGGAUCCGCCUCGUGAUGGGUUCGUGCGCAGGGAUGCUUCGAUCAAUCUAGCGUUUUUAGAUUUAUUUGUCUCAUGGUUGUUGGUGAAGCAAUCCAAUCUGAAUUUUCAUGAUUGACUUCACAAGAUCCUGUCAUUUGACCUCUAUGAGAUUUAGAUUACGAGACAUUACAGAUGAUCGUACAUGAUAUUCUGUUAUACGUGAAAAUGUCCAGACUAUAAACGGGUUUGUACUUGGUACGCUGGCUACUAUGUCAUUUCUUUAUCUUCUGUUGUUUCAAGAUUAUAUUCUGCUGUGUAGGUGCUGGACUUUGCAUGAUGAUAGCAUCCAAAGUGGGAAAGAACCAAUUCUGAAUUCAGC
rnacentral:lncRNA from 1 species